rnacentral:rRNA from 1 species
UCAAGCUAAAAAGAGCACAGGGUGAAUGCCUUGCCACCAAGAGCCGAAGAAGGACGUGACAAGCUGCGAUAAGCUGCGGGUAGCUGCAAAUAAGCGAUUUAACCGCAGAUUUCCGAAUUGGGAAACCACGUUACCGGCAAGGGUAACGAUCGUAUCAUGAAUCCAUAGUGAUACGAGGGGAACCGCCUGAACUGAAACAUCUAAGUAGGGCGAGGAAGAGAAAUCAAACGAGAUUUUGCGAGUAGCGGCGAGCGAAAGCGAAAGAGGCUAAACCGGAGUAAGUAAUUACGCCGGGGUUUUGGACGACGGACGGUAUAUCUGAUCAUAGCAGAACUGCAUGGGAAGGCAGACCGCAGAGGGUGAGAGUCCCGUAAGCGAAAUGAGAAGAUAGCCAGUCGAAUCCGGAGUAGUGCGGAACACGAGGAAUUCCGUAUGAAGACAGGGGGACCACCCUCUAAGCCUAAAUACUACUUGGUGAGCGAUAGAGAACAGUACUGUGAAGGAAAGGUGAAAAGCACCCCGGGAGGGGAGUGAAAGAGAACCUGAAACCUUGUGUUUACAAGCACACAAAGCACAUCUACGUGCGAUGUGGUACUUUUUGUAGAACGGUCCGGCGAGUUUGAGUAUGCAGCAAAGGUUAAGAACUUAGAGGUUCGGAGCCGAAGGGAAACCGAGUGUGAACAGCGCGGUGUUGCAUGCCCAAGACCCGAAACCGGGUGACCUAUCCAUGAGCAGGUUGAAGUGAGGGUAAAACCUCAUGGAGGACCGAACCGACCCUCGUUGAAAUGAUGGCGGAUGACUUGUGGAUAGCGGAGAAAUUCCAAUCGAACUCGGAUAUAGCUGGUUCUCCCCGAAAUAGCUUUAGGGCUAGCCUCAUCUGCACAAAGUGUAAGACAUUAUCGGAGGUAAAGCACUGACCGGAUAAGGGGUCGAGAGAUUACCGAGUCCUAUCAAACUAAGAAUGCCGAAUAAUGAAUAGAUGGGAGUCAGACAGUGUGAGAUAAGUCUCAUUGUCAAAAGGGAAACAGCCCAGACCCACAGCUAAGGUCCCAAAUGUAUGUUAAGUGGAAAAGGAUGUGGAAUUGUGAAAACAACCAGGAUGUUGGCUCAGAAGCAGCCACACAUUAAAAGAGUGCGUAAUAGCUCACUGGUCGAAUGAUUCUGCGCCGAAGAUGUAACGGGGCUAAACAUACAACCGAAGCUUGGGCAUCGAAAGAUGGGUAGGGGAGCGUUCUGUUGUAGGGAGAAGUCAUAGCGAGAGCGAUGGUGGACGAGACAGAAGUGAGAAUGCCGGAAUAAGUAGCGAGAAUUAUGUGAGAAUCAUAAUGGCCGAAAGUCUGAGGUUUCCGGGGGAAGGUUUGUCCGCCCCGGGUAAGCCGGAGCUAAGGUGAGGCCGGAAGGCGUAGCCGAUGCACAUACGGUAGAAAUUCCGUAGCCAUCGAAAUUGUUAAGUAAGGGGACGCUUCGAGAUAGUAUAACCCAGCCGUUGGUUGAGCUGGGCGAAAGGGACCGAAUGAGGGAAGUAUACGAUGCUCGGAGACGAGAAAAGCCUUAUGUAUUGAUAAGAUGACCGUACCGCAAACCGACACAGGUAGACGAGGAGAGAAUCCUAAGGCCGACGAGAGAAAUGUUGUUAAGGAACUCGGCAAGAUUACCCCGUAACUUAGGGAUAAGGGGAGCUCAAGAAAUUGAGCCGCAGAGAAUAAGCCCAGGCGACUGUUUAGCAAAAACACAGGUCUCUGCUAAAUCGAAAGAUGAAGUAUAGGGGCUGACGCCUGCCCAGUGCUGGAAGGUUAAGGGAAAAUGUUAGAGCAAUCGAAGCAUAGAACCGAAGCCCCAGUGAACGGCGGCCGUAACUAUAACGGUCCUAAGGUAGCGAAAUUCCUUGUCAGGUAAGUUCUGACCCGCACGAAUGGCGUAACGAUCU